UACAGAGGGUGCAAACGUUGUUCGGAAUUACUGGGCGUAAAGCGCGUGUAGGCAGCUCGGAAAGUCGGGUGUGAAAGCCCUGGGCUCAACCUAGGAAGUGCACUCGAAACUUCCGAGCUGGAGUGCUGGAGAGGAAGGCGGAAUUCUCGGUGUAGAGGUGAAAUUCGUAGAUAUCGAGAGGAACACCGGUGGCGAAGGCGGCCUUCUGGACAGUAACUGACGCUGAGACGCGAAAGCGUGGGGAGCAAACAGG
rnacentral:rRNA from 1 species